CUAGUCCGUUUUUGCUUCAAAUUCAGCUUAUUUUGUUCGAAUUUAGGGCGUAUUGUGUGGAUUUUACUUUUCGCAAAGGGUCCUUCAAUUUUGUUUGUUAGCAACCUAACAGCGACAUUACAUGUUUGAGGAAAUGAGUAAACCACGCAUGCUGCCUUACACCUUUUGCUAGAAAAUAAGGGCAACAGCAGAAGCCGAUUUUCACGUGAUGGGCCGCCCUCAGCCUCGGUGUUCCUAAUCAAUUCAAAUUGUGUGUUAACUCUCCCUGCAUCACUCGCCACCUCAAUAAAAGGAUUCCGGAUCCUGUUUUCAAAUUAUCCCGUGUUAAGUUGGUGUGGAGAAGUUGGUGAUGUUAUCUUCUCAGAGAAUGCAAGUGUGGCUGUCGUUUAUAGGGUCACUGUACGAGGUGCGUUCCUUUCCUUUGCAGAUGUGGUUCGAAUAGGAGUGCCUUUUUUUCCAUGUACAAUUCUUGUGCUAUGUAUCGGGAAAAUGCAGGUGCAUCGGUGUCGUCUGCCAAUCGCGAUAUUGGCGAUCCGGUUGCAGCAGCAGAGGAGAUAGCAUUUUGCAGAGCAUGCUCUAGAUUUGGUCUUGGCUUCUACCUUUACCACCAAGAUUAAUGAUCUAAUUAUCUUAAUAUAUGUAAUGUUUGUAUUUUCAUUUCA